rnacentral:rRNA from 1 species
UACGGAAGGCAGCAGGGGGAAUAUUGCACAAUGGGCGAAAGCCUGAUGCAGCUAUGCCGCGUGUAUGAAGAAGGCCUUAGGGUUGUAAAGUACUUUCAUCGGGGAGGAAAAAACAAAACUAAUAAUUUUAUUUCUUGACGUUACCCGAAAAAGAAGCACCGGCUAACUCCGUGCCAGCAGCCGCGGUAAUACGGAGGGUGCUAGCGUUAAUCAGAAUUACUGGGCGUAAAGAGCACGUAGGUGGUUUUUUUAAAGUCAGAUGUGAAAUCCCUGGGCUUUAACCUAGGAACUGCAUUUUGAAACUGAAAUACUAGAGUAUCGUAGAGGGAGGUAGAAUUCUAGGUGUAGCGGUGAAAUGCGUAGAUAUCUGGAGGAAUACCUGUGGCGAAAGCGGCCUCCUAAACGAAUACUGACACUGAGGGUGCGAAAGCGUGGGGAGCAAACAGGGAUUAGAUACC